rnacentral:rRNA from 1 species
GGAUCUCCAAUAGCCGCAGUGUAGUAUAACGCCUUUAUACUGUAAAACUGCGAACGGCUCAUUAUAUCAGUUAUAGUUUAUUUGAUACUUUUUGACUAUUGGAUAACCGUAGUAAUUCUAGAGCUAAUACAUGCUUACAGUCCCAACUUUUUGGAGGGAUGUAUUUAUUAGAUUUCAAUCAACAUUUUUUGCUGACUCAUGAUAACUUAGCGGAUCGCAGAGGCCUCGUGCCGGCGACAAAUCAUUCAAGUUUCUGCCCUAUCAGCUUUCGAUGGUAGUGUAUUGGACUACCAUGGCAUUAACGGGUAACGGAGGAUUAGGGUUCGAUUCCGGAGAGGGAGCCUGAGAAAUGGCUACCACAUCCAAGGAAGGCAGCAGGCGCGUAAAUUACCCAAUCCUAAUUCAGGGAGGUAGUGACAAUAAAUAUCGAUGCGGGGCCCUUUGUGGUCUUGCAAUCGGAAUGAGAACAAUUUAAAUCCCUUAACGAGGAUCAAUUGGAGGGCAAGUCUGGUGCCAGCAGCCGCGGUAAUUCCAGCUCCAAUAGCGUAUAUUAAUGUUGUUGCAGUUAAAAAGCUCGUAGUUGGAUUUCUGCGUGGCGCAACUCGGUCCGCCGCACUGCGGUGCGACUGCGGUUGGAGCCUCGCUUCUUUGUGGGGACUACUUGUGCCAUUAAUUUGGUGUAUUUAGGAACUGCAUCGUUUACUGUGAAAAAAUUAGAGUGUUCAAAGCAGGCUUAUGCCGUGAAUACAUUAGCAUGGAAUAAUAAGAUAGGACUUUGGUUCUAUUUUGUUGGUUGGAGGCCAAGGUAAUGAUUAAUAGGGAUAGUUGGGGGUAUUCAUAUUUAAUUGUCAGAGGUGAAAUUCUUGGAUUUAUGAAAGAUGAACUUAUGCGAAAGCAUUUACCAAGGAUGUUUUCAUUAAUCAAGAACGAAAGUUAGGGGAUCGAAGAGGAUUAGAUACCCUCGUAGUCUUAACCAUAAACUAUGCCGACUCGGGAUUGGAAGGUGUACAUUAAAAGACCCUUUCAGCACCGUAUGAGAAAUCAAAGUCUUUGGGUUCCGGGGGGAGUAUGGUCGCAAGGCUGAAACUAAAGGAAUGACGGAAGGCCCCCGAGUCC